GACGUAGGGCGCGAGCGUUGUCCGGAUUUAUUGGGCGUAAAGAGCUCGUAGGCGGCUUGUUGCGUCGUCCGUGAAAACCUGUGGCUCAACUACAGGCUUGCGGUCGAUACGGGCAGGCUAGAGUUCGGUAGGGGAGACUGGAAUUCCUGGUGUAGCGGUGAAAUGCGCAGAUAUCAGGAGGAACACCGGUGGCGAAGGCGGGUCUCUGGGCCGAUACUGACGCUGAGGCGCGAAAGCUAGGGGGAGCAAACAGG
rnacentral:rRNA from 1 species